GACGAACGCUGGCGGCGUGCUUAACACAUGCAAGUCGAACGGUAAGGCCCUUCGGGGUACACGAGUGGCGAACGGGUGAGUAACACGUGGGUGAUCUGCCCUGCACUUCGGGAUAAGCCUGGGAAACUGGGUCUAAUACCGGAUAGGACUCCGGACUGCAUGGUCUGGGGUGGAAAGCUUUUGCGGUGUGGGAUGGGCCCGCGGCCUAGCAGCUUGUUGGUGGGGUGAUGGCCUACCAAGGCGACGACGGGUAGCCGGCCUGAGAGGGUAACCGGCCACACUGGGACUGAGGUACGGCCCAGACUCCUACGGGAGUCAGCAGUGGGGAAUAUUGCACAAUGGGCGCAAGCCUGAUGCAGCGACGCCGCGUGAGGGAUGACGGCCUUCGGGUUGUAAACCUCUUUCAGCACCGACGAAGCGCAAGUGACGGUAGGUGCAGAAGAAGGACCGGCCAACUACGUGCCAGCCGCCGCAGUAA
rnacentral:rRNA from 1 species